CCCUUAGAUGUUCUGGGCCGCACGCGUGCUACACUGAGUGGAUCAGCGGGUCAGGUUGCGCGAAAGCGUUUCCUAAUCUUUAAAUCCGCUCGUGAUGGGGAUUGACGGUUGCAAUUUUCUGUCAUGAACGAGGAAUACCUUGUAAGCGCGGGUCAUCAUCCCGCGCUGAAUACGUCCCUGCCCUUUGUACACACCGCCCGUCGCUCCUACCGAUUGAGGGGUCCGGUGAGGCUUUGGGAUCUGAGCGGAAAGAGCGUUUCGCUGUUUCUGCUCGGAAAACUCAGUCGAACCUUAUCAUUUAGAGGAAGGAGAAGUCGUAACA
rnacentral:rRNA from 1 species